CUCCCGAUCUCCUCCCUCGCUGAAAAAUCCAGUCCCCCUCGAUCUCCCCCUCCUCCCUCUCCUCUGCGCCCGCCUCCGUCCGGGAUCAAACCCCCCUCCCCCGCGAGCUCCUCCUCGAUGCGCGGCUCUCUCGAUCCCGAUCCAUUCAGAGCGGCUGCCCCUUCUCUCCUCGCUCGCCGCUUGGUCGUAGAAAAGAAGUCCGGGCAGGGGACAUGGCCGUCGCCGGUGGCAUUUUCCCAUCGCGCCUCGAUUUGGCCGCCUCGACGGAGGCGCUCACGGCCCGGAGGGUCGGCGGAGCGCCUCACCUUGGCCUGGAGGCUGGCCGCCAUGGAGCUCGCCUCGGUCUAGAACUGGGGCUCGACGCGGCCUCCCGGCCCGGUUCAUGGCCGCAGCCGUCUCGGCUGUGCACGCCGGCGUUGUGACGUGGUGGCCAGGCGCUGGUUGCUGCCUCACCCGACCCCAGCGUGCUUGCAGGCCUCUCCCGCAUCUCUGCUCCUGGUUCGCUCUGUUUACUCGUGGAGGCCAAAGGGGGUCGUGACCCCCCUCCAAAACUGUAUUUUGUUACUAAUUACUAAGCGUUUUGGUGCAGCCCAUCCGUGGAUCAUCUCUUGCCAAUUUAAUUAUUAUCUACAUUGUUUUUUGAGCAUUAGAUCCAUUAACUGAAAGGUAUAGACGUACUCUGUAUGUACAAAGCUUGUGUUGUUAAGAUGACAAAUCGACGACUGGCGAUGAGACGACUGCCAUAUGUUCGAUUACCUUGUGAAUUCAUGACAUUCGUAUAAGUUUUUAUGCAUAUUUUUCUGCCAGUUUAAAAGUUGCCCCCCCCCCAUAUAGCUUGUCACGGUAUGCCACUGGCUGUUUGAGCACCACUAUGUAGAUAUUAGAUGAUAUAUGUGCGUCAACAGAGCAGAGGAUUCAGGUUUAGUCAUCCUCCGCAUUGCAUUUGAUUCAGAUUACUAUAAGAUGAUUUUUAAUAGAUAUUUGGUCUUACACAAGUCACAUUGGAAAUGUUUUUUCCUAUUGAUUCAGAGUAGUAUUUUGAUGAACAACCUAUCACUGAUACAUCGCCUUUCAUGUUCAUUCACAUAUGCUUAAUACUUCUGAAUAAUGUACGUCAAGAGAACCUAGGGUUCAGGUUUAGUGCAUCCUCUGCAUGUUAUUCAGACCACUAUAAUCUGAGUUUUUAAUAGAUAUUUUGGUUUUAUUGCUUUCUUAUAACGUGUUGCGCCUUAUCUAGUUGGAAUAAUCAACAUAGAUUUAUACUUUUUGCCGUCUCAUUUAGCUCGAGAUCGACUCGACAUCGUUACAAGCUGAGCAUGAGUCAUGUUCUACAGCUUGACCUUGAGCUUCAUUCAGUUUGAGCUGCCUCAAAUUUUAAUAUGAGUUAAACUGAUUUGAUUUUAUGCCUGCUUAAUGUAUUGUGUUUCUUCUUACAUUGACUCAAAAUUUUAUGUCUGGUUUACCUACGCAAGGGCACAAUGAUGAAUUUUACGGAGGAUGCUCCUGUAAAGAAAGGCUCUGUUCUCUUAACAAGGAUGGAAAGUAUAACGGCAUACAAAAACCAACGUGGACAACCCAGAUCUGGAACUCCAGAACAAUCUGACACUCCAGUGUCUGCUAAUGACAUGUGUUCCCUUGCUGAAUGGCCAUCUCAUGCUCGCCGCAACCGUGCGCUACUACAGGAUGAAGCUGGUGGACAGAAGAAGAAAGGGCGAGGUGUUCUAAAAGGUUUUAAAGCAUCUAAGAAGCAUUUUGCCAAUGGAUCUGCAAAGCUAAAUAUUACAUGCUCUGGAAAAUUGGGUGGUACAGUAGGAAUGAACUAUCGUUCGUUCAAGGAUGACGUGGUAGUCAUAAUGAAAAGAAAGUUACCACUCAUUGGAGUGAGGACGUGGUCGGACAUUCACCCUACCAUUCAUCGACUCAUUGCUGCAGACAUGAUAGGGACAGAUGGGACUUGGAAGAUACACCAGAAACAGAAGAAAAAGAGUUCUCAAAAUUGCGAAAGAGCGAUAUAGAGGCUGGCGAUCAACUCUAAGCUCCACUUACAAGGCAUACAAAACAGAUGCAGCUAGAUUGGCUAAUCUGCCGGAAGAUUUGCAACCAGAAGAGUGGGAAUGGAUGAUUGAGUACUUUGGCACUGAUUCAAAAUUUCAGGAUCGCAGCCAAAAGAACACCGAUAACCGUAAGAAACAGAAGACAAAACACAUAAUUGGAUCAAAAUCUUACUCGCAAGUUAGUUUUGAAAAGAGAAACUUGGAAACUGGAGAAGAGCCAGAUUGUAUUGCUCUGUGGGAACUCACCCACACGAACGAUGGAACAUGGUCUAACAUAGAUUCCUAGAAAGUUUACGACAAAGCACUUCAAGAGGUUAAAAUCAAAGAAACUGAAACUGAAGGUCCACUUUCAAGUGAGCAGAAAAACAAUAUUUUCCAGACCGCUUACAAAGACACUCUGGAAUGCAAGUCAUCGCAGCCUCGUGGGUACGGAUACAUGGCCAAAACUUCAACUGGUUCUGAAAGGUUUCGUAUCCAGAUCGAAGAGCAAGCUCGUGCUACAGCAGCCACCCAGGAGCGAAACUCUCAGCUCAACCAGCAGGUCAACGAAUUAAAAGAUCAACUACAAGAUGAACAUGCAAACACACAAGAGAGGAUUAACUUGGAGCGUGCUGAGAGAGAACAACUUGAGGAGAGGUUAAAAGAAGAGUGUGCUGAAAGGGAAAGAUUGUUGCAAGAGGAGCGAACAUCAAGACUGGAAUUUGAAAGAAACAUGAUGGCAAAGUUUGUAGAAUCGAGCCAACAGAUGGGAACCCAACAGGUGCCUACGAAGAGGGUUGAGAAAGAAAAUAGUAAUCCAAACUUGCAAAAUAUUCUUUUACAGAGAUCUAGUCCUAAUAAGACUCCAGGUUCAAGGCCAACUGCUAUUUCUUCAAAUGCGCUCAUACGAGCUGCAGCAAGGCAUUCUCGAAUGUUUAAAGCAAUGGAUCCAAAGAACUAGCUGGAUUGGACUCUAGAUCACGGGCAGUUUAGUCUUCGAAGUUAAUUAGGAUGGCUAAAUUACAUUUGAGUUUCAUUUGAUGGAUAUUUGUUAUGAGAAUUAUGAAUUUUAUGAAUCUGCAUAUUAUACAUAUGGUUUUGAAUAUUGUAAUCGAAAGCCUGUAUUUUUUUUACGGUUGCAAUAGACUAUUACCACAACCCACUUUCGGUUGCCACAUGCUAGCACCACUAAAAAUAUAGUGUUGCGUUAUAUCUCAUUCGCUACGCCUAUCUGUUUUGUUGCACUAGGAUGUUGCAACGGAGAACUUUAUAUUAUUGUAAUAGCUUGGCGCCACAAAAAAUUUCACGAUGCGAUAACAGUUUGGCGCCACCAAAGUAAGUUUGUUGAAAUAGAGUAUCGCCACGGAAAGUAUAAAUUGUCGCAAUAAUUUCUCGCUCCAAUGUUUUUAGCUGUUGUGAUACCUAUUUAUCACCAUAAAAACAAGUACGUUGCAAUUUCCUGUUACGACAAUUCGAAUAUUUGUUGCCAUAAGUUAAUGCCACAAGCGCAGUGGGUCGUGGCAACAUGCCUAAUGCCACGAAAACAAGGAUUGUUGCCAUAGUUUAUUGCCACAAGUAUAGUGGGUCGUGGCAACAUGCCUAAUGCCACGAAAA